GAAAUAUUAUUUCAGUUGGUUAGAGAAUGGUGCUCCUAAUGCCACGGUUGCAAGUUCCAUCCUUGUAUGGGGCA